GGCUUCCCGUCCGAUCAGCCAUGAUAAUCAUCUAAUCGCUACACUAGUACUCAAGUUGGUGACAAUUGGGGAAUCCGUAGUGUUGUAUGUU
rnacentral:rRNA from 1 species